rnacentral:rRNA from 1 species
CCCUUAGAUGUCCUGGGCCGCACGCGCGUUACACUGAUGCAUUCAACGAGCUUAUAACCUUGGCCGAGAGGCCUGGGCAAUCUUGUUAACGUGCAUCGUGAUAGGGAUAGAUUAUUGAAAUUAUUAAUCUUGAACGAGGAAUUCCUAGUAAACGCAGAUCAUCAAUCUGCAUUUAUUACGUCCCUGCCCUUUGUACACACCGCCCGUCGCACCUACCGAUUGGAUGGUCCGGUGAAGCCUCGGGAUUGUGGUUCUUGCCGCUUUAUUGUGGCGUGACCGCGAGAACUUGUCUAAACCUUAUCAUCUAGAGGAAGGUGAAGUCGUAACA